rnacentral:rRNA from 1 species
GACGAACGCUGGCGGCGUGCCUAAUACAUGCAAGUCGAACGAGUGGCGGACGGGGUAGUAACACGUGGGAACCUACCCAUCAGAGGGGGAUAACACUUGGAAACAGGUGCUAAUACCGCAUACUGAUGGAUGGACCCGCGGUGCAUUAACUAGUAGGUGGGGUAAAGGCUCACCUAGGCCACGAUCUCUAGCUGGUCUGAGAGGAUGAUCAGCCACACUGGGACUGAGACACGGGCCAGACUCCUACGAGAGGCAGCAGUGGGGAAUAUUGCACAAUGGGCGCAAGCCUGAGGCAGCCAUGCCGCGUGUAUGAAGAAGGCCUUAGGGUUGUAAAGUACUUUCAGCGGGGAGGCGUUACCCGAAGAAGAAGCACCGGCUAACUCCGUGCCAGCAGCCGCGGUAAUUC